CUUUGUUCCUGUAUCACACAAAGAAAAUUGGUCCGUUUUGAAAAUGGUGGUCGGUUUGUGGCCUUGAGUCUUCGGGCAGCUUGGCUUCUGCUCAAUCAGCUUGAGUCGGCUUCAGGAGACUUUUGCUCUGCAUCAACCCUAAUUGCUUCACACCCAGUACCAUUUGUAUUUGCGGCUCGAUCUGUCUUAUCUCAACUGGAGAUCUUUUCUUAGACGACCCUUUUUGAUAUCUUGAAUACUUCCUGCUUUUGAGCAAUUUGUCUGUAGAGAGAAUCACAAGUUAUCAUCUUGUGCCAAAUAGGCUGACAAGAGUCUUUUUGGGGAAGCCUUUGCAUGAAUCCUCAAAGUAUAUUGACAGUAACUACUGAGUAUGCUGGCCAAAUUCACUUUGUGCAACUGAAAAGCUGGUAGCAGGUUUUGAAAUCUUUUCUUGCUUGUUUUGACAAGGACUAACUCAGAGUGGAGGACACAAUGAUGCAAAAACAAGUAUUAACAAGAAAUGCCCCAUGUCGGAAGGACAGAAGGAAGAGUUUUUUUUCUUCUUUUUUUUAUAUAACUAGCCUUAAUGAUCAUGACAUGCAUUUUGGACUCAAUGGCCUGAUUUAUCAAACUAAUCCAAUCUUCCCUUUUACCAUUCUUAUGACCUUUGUGGUCGGACCUAUCCGUGCCAAUUCUUUGCAUCAGCUUCAUGACUCACUUUCGACUAGUGGUGCCCCAAGGGGUUUUCAUCUACAAGUCUCUGUCAUUUAUUUAUCUCUGCUUACCGUCGCCUUACAGUGUCCGUGAAGGUUUUCACUAGUAAGACUCUCUCAUUUUCCUUAUUUUUCUUUUUCUUUUACUUUCUUGUGCGAGCAACUUGAUAGUGUUCUAUGUCGCGUGACAGUCGUUUCUCAUUACAUGCUUCUCUUGGCAUUCUUGAAGACAUAUUGGGAGGUCUUUAUUUGGACGGUUUUGGAUAGGGUUGGACAGAAAGGUCGGCAUGAAGGCUCAAAGUAAACUCAAAAUGAGGGGUUGUGGACUUACAACUCUUGGAAUCGACUCUUUCAAAAGUGAAAUAAAAUCUCUGCCCCAGUUUUAGAUGCUGGGGAUUUUUGGAUUUUUCUUUUUUUUUUCUUUUUUUUUUGCUGGACCGAACCGUAAGGCUGCCUACGUAUCCUUUUUUAAAGGAAUCAGGUCUAACGUAGUUCAAACAUCUGACCUAACUAAUUUUUUUUAUUUUUCUUUUUGUUUCUCUUUUCCUUUUUUUUCUUUUUUUUCUUUUUCUUUUUUUUUGUUUGCCCCAGCUUCUAUCUUCUGGGCAUGGAACUUUGACAAAUCUUUUCUUCCUUUUUUUUGAACUUUCUAAGAAUUGCCUCAGUUUGUACUCUUGGGACCUGGAUUUUUUCUUCUUUUUUUUCAUUUUUUCUCUUCUUUUUUUUUGACUCUUGACUCUNNNNNNNNNNNNNNNNNNNNNNNNNCAGGCUCAAAAGGGGUAGCGAAGGAUAUAAAGUGUUUGGCUAGCAGAAAAAGGGCCUCCCAACCUCAAGAACGUCAAACAUGUGAUCUUUUCGCGAUCACAACAUUGACGAACAUGUGUGUCUUCUUGGCGUGUCGUGGUCAUAAGACAUUUUUUUCAUCCCUUAGUGACAAACUUUCCAACAAACAUCAAUUGAUUAAACAUCCUCAAGCCUUAUCUUCAAAAUGAUUUGAAGGUGAAUUUUACUCGACCUUAGUUCCAAAGUAUUCCAACUCUCUAUUCAUCCCCAAAAGUAUUUUUUUUUAGUUAUCGAAUUCCAGAUUAAAUAAGUUCCUAAGAUCUGAGCAAUAUUUCCGCAUGUAUGUCAUGUCAUUAAAACUAGCGGGAAAAGAACUAGGCAUGGAAUGACACAAAAGGACAAACUAUAUUUCAUUGAGUAAACAACAAGACAAACAACCUAAAAUCCGAGUUACAACCCUAAAUAACCCAGCUAAUGAAAAUAGCAACAGAACAGAAAGACAAGACUCACACAAACAAAAUGGAGGGAUAGAAGGAUUUGACUCAAUAAAAUAAAUAAAAUCUGGAUCACAACUCUGAAAUAACCCAGAUAAUAGAAAAAACAUCAAAACAAGCUACCAAGAUUCCUUCCUAGUGAGAAGGGAAUGAAUUUUCAAUUGCUCGGUUUGAUACUUAGCCACAAAUUUGCUCAUCAGAAUUAGCAGAGCCUUCUCCAAUUUCAAAAUCAUUAACUUCAAUUAGCAAAUUCCCGGGAGGAUUCUCAUACUCCCUGUCACCACGCAUCAUCCCCACAAAGUGUGCAUCAUCAUGUGCAGGUAAAGGAUUCUGUGCGAUAUUCUGGGUGUCACUGUCUUGGAUCACAAUCAGGUUUUCCUGGAUCAUCCUUUCUAUUUCUCUUUUCAAAUCCCGACAACUUUCAACAUUGUGCCACUGGGCAUUGGAAUGGUAUUCACACCUUUUAGAUGGGUCAAAUCUCCUUGCACGUGGGUCCACACGAUUUGGAGGAAUAGGUGCAAUCAUGUCAUAAUGCUUUAACUUCUCAAAUAAGCUUGCAUAGGACUCUCCUAUUGGUGUAAAAUUAUCUUUCAACCUUUGUUCCCCUUUAUACCUCUGGCUUGGAUGUGGGUUAUAGGGCACCUAAAAAUUUUGUGGAGGCUGUUGGAGAUUUCGUGAUGCUCGUGCUCGCCUUCUAGGGUGUUUUGGUGGCUGGACAACAUACUGAGGUGGAGCGACAGAGUAUUGAGGGUUCUGAGGUGGAUAAUACUGCUCAGGGGAGUCAUGGAAAACUUGAGGAAGCUGCUCAUACCUUCGAGAUGUUCUCAUGGGACCUCUUCUCGACCCCGAUGUCAUCAUGAUUUCUUCAACCUUCUCAUUUGUGUUGCUAAAAUUAUCAGAUUCAACCCGGACAGCCUGAGUUGCGGCUUUAAAAACUGCUUGACUUAUAAUUUUACCUGUCUUAAGACCAUUCUCUACCAUUUCUCCCAUUUUGAUUCCUUCCAAGAAGGAUUUGCCAACUACGGACAUCAUGUUUUGAAAGUAAUCUUGCUCUUGCACUUGAAGGAAGACAGUUAUUAGCUCGUGGUCAUCCAUGGGUGGCUUAACUCGAGCUGCUUGCUCUCUCCAUUUAAUGGCAUAUUCCCUGAAACUUUCACUUGGUUUCUUCUUCAGGUUUGAAAGGGAAAUGCGGUCUGGGGCAAUGUCGAUGUUGUAUUGGAAUUGUUUGACAAAGGCUUGUGCCAUGUCAUCCCAGACAUAUUAGCGAGACGUGUCUUGAUCCAUAAACCAUUCGGAGGCUACUCCCGUAAGGCUUUCCCCAAAAUAAGCCAUCAACAAUUCUUCAUUUCUUCCCACACCUCUCAGUUGAUUGCAAUACCUUUUCAGGUGGGCUAUGGGAUCUCCAUGUCGAUCAUACUUGUCAAAUUUGGGAGUCUUGAAACCAGGUGGCAAGUGGAUAUCGGGGAACAUGCAUAGAUCUUUGAAGGCAACACUCUUUUGACCUGCCAACCCUUGCAUGUUUUUCAACUGUUGUUCUAAGCUUUUCACUCUUUGGGUCAUUUCUUCCUGUACCAUCUUUCGGGCAGGCUUCUCAAUGUUUGCAGGAAGAUCAAACGAGUACGAGUGGUACUCAGGAGAGUGGUACUGCUCUUGCUGUGUAGCAAAUUGUGACUCUUGACGAGGUUGUCCUUGACCACUGGCCCAUGCUUGACACAUUUCGGUCAUUUGCUGUUUCAGUAUUCUAUUUUUCUCAACCAUAGCAGACUCUUGUUGAACCCUCUGACCCUGAGUCUUUUGAGCACUUGUAACAGCUUCGAUGUCAGUUAUCAUUUUCUUUGGAUCUUGUAUUUCCAGCUUACCACAAACCGACCACCUCAACUUUCUUCACAAUUCAAAACAAAACAUGUCAGAAUUGACUCAGUCGGUCCUUAUUAUUAUCAACAUUUUUUCACUUUUGUUUUUCUUCUUUUUAUUCAUUUUUUUCAAUGGUUGAUCGAACCUGAUAUGGGUUGCCUACGUAUCAUGUGGGAACAUGAAUCAGAUCUUGCGUAGUUCGGGAAGAUCAUGAAUAAAGUAAAUAAACUAACUUUUUUUUUGAAUUUUUUAUUUUAUUUUUUUCGAAAGAAAGACUUAUAAAGAAGAAAGGGAACAUUUUUGGAUUUUGAUUUUUCUUCAGCAUUUUUGCAAAGAAAGACUUCUAAAGAAGAAAGAUCUUUUUUUAAAAUAUUUUUUUCUGAAAUUUCGAAAGAAAAACUUCUAAAGAAGAAAGAAAAUAUUUUUGGAAUUUUAUUUUGAAUUUAUGAAAGAAAUGCUUCUAAAAAAAAUAAAUACUUUUGAAUUUUGAAUUUUCUUUUCAAAUUUUUUGUAUAAUAUUUUUAAAAAAAAAACAGUUAGAGUCUAAAGAAAGGCUUUGUAAAGAAGCAAGUAAUGGAAAAUAUUUUUGGAUAUUUUUGAAAAUUGGGGUCUCAAAACAAAGACUUUUUUAGAGAGGAAGUAAAGGAAAAUAUUUUUGGAUUUUUUGAAAAUUAUGGGCCGGAACCGAUGAGAUUUGCCUACGUGUCUCACAUCCGGUGAGAAUCAAACCCGCGUAGUUCGCCCGUUUUGACGGAAUAGGAAUUGACUUAUUUUGAAAUGACUUUUCUGUUUUUUUUUUUCGAAACUUCGGCAGAGUUUCAGGACAAUUCAAAUACCUACUUCUCACUUUCGCUUUUUUUUUUCUUUUUUCUCUUUUUUGAUUUUCUUCUUUUUCUCUCUUUUUUUUAAUUUUCUUUCCCUAUUCUAGAAGCCAGUCAACAUGCAAGUCAAAACAGACAGAUACGCAAGUAGCACGUAAGAUGCAUUAGGAUGGUUUUUUUAAUUUGGGUACACAUGUCCUAGACGGACACAACCCCUGUGUUGGGUCCCCAAAGUCAAACGCACGUGAUGCAAGCAAGCGUUCCUACUAGGGAUCCGGCAUGAGGCUGUGUUAUACUAGGUUUAAAAACCUGGGUUUAUUUGUUCUAGACCUGGCUUACCCGAGCGGACAGCUCGAGCCGAGGGAGGGCAGCGUACCGAGAAUACAGAAGCUUCACCAGCUUUGCAACUUGUCCGAACCGCAUUCUAAAAUUGGGAUAUGACUCUGACAGAAAAGAAGUCACACGAAAUGCACACUUCCCAGAUGAUUUAGAAGACUCAGGGAGAAGAGGUUUCGUAACAGUUUUAUACACAAUCAACCAAUAUUAAAGCGGUAAAAGUAGCAUUUAGCACAUUAGGCUCAACAUGUAAAAAUCAUAUAAAAACAAGUCAACUAUAACAGUUAUUCUAAGCUCAAAUUCUUGAACCCUGAACUAGAGAUUCUGGGUUCGGUCCCCAGCAGAGUCGCCAGAGCUGUCACACCUCCUUUUUACCUACACCCCCAAAGAGGGUGUAUAAGGGAGUUUUUUCCAACUUAAAGUAACAACCGAAAUGGGAUAAUUUUUAUUAAAAACUCAGAGUCGACACUUGGGAUAAUUUAUGGUGUCCCAAGUCACCGGUUCAAAUCCCGAAUCGAGGAAAAGAUUGACUCUGUAUUACAGUCCGCGAACCAGAAAUCCGAGUAAGGAAUUCUGUUAACCCGAGAGAAGGUGUUAGGCAUUCCCGAGUUUCGUGGUUCUAGCACGGUCGUCAACUGUUAUAAAUGGCCUAUUAUCUAAUUUUAAAACACUUUUAAACCCAUGUGCAUUUUUAACUUUUGAAAACCGCUUUUACUCAAUUUUUAAAGAGGAUUGAACGUAGUUUAAAAUACGUCUUUGGAUCGCGCCAUACGAAAUGCACCCGCAAUCCUAAACAUAAUUUAUUCAACGUCUUAAAAUUUGAUUUGGGUCACAUGAAAUGCACACCCGAGUUUAGGAAAGUAAUUUUAUAGCGCGCCUAAAGCAACUACGCACUUUCAAGUUUGCGAGGGCCAUGAAAAAUUCAACUAAAUGGCACACCUCAAUUUCUAAAGGAUUAAAAUUAAUUAAGUGAGGGCCAUGCAUUUUGAGAUUUUAUUUGGCACGACGCACCUUAAAUGACUCAGAAAAGAUUUGCUAAUUGUAUACAACCCUUGGGGUAAAUGUGUUACACCUUUAAUUUUCGAUAAGGAUCAAAUUACCCAUAUUGUAUAUUCACUGUCAACUUCCACAAAACAAAAAAAGAAAAAUUGAAUUCCAAACAGGAUAGUCAGGGCAACGGGAAUUAUAACAAAGGAGAAGAACUUCAUUUAUACACCUCUAACAUACAUCAAAAAUAUCAUAUCUUCAGUAUACAAUUAUAUAUAAAAGAGUUCUCAAUCUUGAAAAGGGUCCCUCUAAAUCAAAAUUAUUAAUAAAAAAAACAAUAGCAACAACCUACAUUUAAUUCUUAUAAAAUUAGACAGAAUCAAAGCAAACAACUUCUUUCUUAUUAAGUAUCAAAGAAACCAUCUUUUCAAUUCCCAUGUAUCAAAUUUCCAUCCUUGAACUGUUUCUUGAUAUCUAAUUAAAUAUUUCACAACAUACUCACACAAGCUAACAUAUACUCCAAGAAAUACAAACCCACAUCCAAUUUUUUUCAUUUUACCACAAUACAAAAUCACAAAAAAAAAACACAAAUAAAUAAAUAACCUGGAAUCUCGAAGCAAGCAAAACUCAGCAGAGACAAGAGUUAUCCCAUUGACGAUUGACAAAACCACUCGUUGUUUACGAGCUUAUUCAUGAAAGGGAUCUUUUCACGAAUAUGUCGAGACCAUUCUGAUUUUGUGGCAAAGAGCUUUGGAAUUUCUCCAAAAAUCAGAAGAAGGGAGAGAGAGUGUGGUUGCUGACUUGCUGUUUGAGAGGGAAUCGAUCAGAAAGAGGUGGGGCGUUGGUUGGUUUAAGGUGAAGACCAUGGAAUUUAUGCUCUUCUUCUCUGAAGAAGAAGAAAAUCGACAGGGGGGAGGGGAGU
rnacentral:lncRNA from 1 species